rnacentral:rRNA from 1 species
UACGGAGGGGGCUAGCGUUGUUCGGAAUUACUGGGCGUAAAGCGCACGUAGGCGGCUUGGUAAGUUAGAGGUGAAAGCCUGGAGCUCAACUCCAGAAUUGCCUUUAAGACUGCCGAGCUAGCAGGUGAGAGAGGUGAGUGGAAUUCCGAGUGUAGAGGUGAAAUUCGUAGAUAUUCGGAAGAACACCAGUGGCGGAGGCGGCUCACUGGCUCAUACUGGACGCUGAGGUGCGAAAGCGUGGGGAGCAAACAGG